GCUUGCUCCACCGGAAAAAGAGGAGUGGCGAACGGGUGAGUAACACGUGGGUAACCUGCCCAUCAGAAGGGGAUAACACUUGGAAACAGGUGCUAAUACCGUAUAACAAUCGAAACCGCAUGGUUUUGAUUUGAAAGGCGCUUUCGGGUGUCGCUGAUGGAUGGACCCGCGGUGCAUUAGCUAGUUGGUGAGGUAACGGCUCACCAAGGCCACGAUGCAUAGCCGACCUGAGAGGGUGAUCGGCCACGUUGGGACUGAGACACGGCCCAAACUCCUACGGGAGGCAGCAGUAGGGAAUCUUCGGCAAUGGACGAAAGUCUGACCGAGCAACGCCGCGUGAGUGAAGAAGGUUUUCGGAUCGUAAAACUCUGUUGUUAGAGAAGAACAAGGAUGAGAGUAACUGUUCAUCCCUUGACGGUAUCUAACCAGAAAGCCACGGCUAACUACGUGCCAGCAGCCGCGGUAAUACGUAGGUGGCAAGCGUUGUCCGGAUUUAUUGGGCGUAAAGCGAGCGCAGGCGGUUUCUUAAGUCUGAUGUGAAAGCCCCCGGCUCAACCGGGGAGGGUCAUUGGAAACUGGGAGACUUGAGUGCAGAAGAGGAGAGUGGAGUUCCAUGUGUAGCGGUGAAAUGCGUAGAUAUAUGGAGGAACACCAGUGGCGAAGGCGGCUCUCUGGUCUGUAACUGACGCUGAGGCUCGAAAGCGUGGGGAGCAAACAGGAUUAGAUACCCUGGU
rnacentral:rRNA from 1 species